CCCUUAGAUGUUCUGGGCUGCACACGUGCUACACUGGCAGGUUCAGCGAGCUUCAUGCCCUGAUCUGAAAGGAAUGGGAAAUCUUUUCAAAACCUGCCGUGCUUGGGAUAGAUGUUUGCAAUUAUUCAUCUUCAACGAGGAUUGCCUUGUAAGCGCACGUCAUCAGCGUGCAUUGAAUACGACCCUGUAUUCUGUACACACCGCCCGUCGCUCCUACCGAUUGAAGUUUUCGGUGAGUUGACAGGAGGAUUUUUUUGAAACUGGUUCGCCAGUGGAUUUUAGAUCCAAAUGCCAACGAAUCGAUGGCUUUAGAGGAAGUAAAAGUCGUAACA
rnacentral:rRNA from 1 species